AAUGAACGCUGGCGGCAUGCCUAACACAUGCAAGUCGAGCGACCACAUAGUAAGAGCUUUCUUUUGCGGGUGGCGGGUGACGGACGGGUGACGCAUACAUAGGCUACUUCUUUGUCUUGGAGAAUAACGUGAAAAAAGUGCUACUAAUGCCUCAUAUAUCGUACCGCUGAGUUCAAGCGUUCUUCGCGCUUUUGCCGUUUGUAUUAGCCGAUGUCGGAUUAGCUAGUUGGCGGGGUAAAGGCCCACCAAGGCGACGAUGCGUAGCUGAUCUGAGAGGAUGAUCAGCCACACUGGAACUGAGACACGGUCCAGACUCCUACGGGAGGCAGCAGUAGGGAAUAUUCCACAAAGGGCGAAAGCCUGAUCGAGCAAUACCGCGUGAGUGAAGAAGGACUUCGGGUUGUAAAGCCCUGUUGUUGGGAAAGAAAAAAAGCAGGUUAAUCUCUGGAUGUUUUGACGGUACCCAAAGAAUAAGCACCGGCUAACUACGUG
rnacentral:rRNA from 1 species